CCAAUCUUGAAGAGCAAUCGGGUUUAAAAAGAGACAAUCUGAUCGCACGCGUAAAAAAAUGAAAUAUGGUCGCACCUCCAUUGGGCAUAAUCUCCUCUUCCCCGCAGGCCUCUCUCUCUCUCUCCCUCGCGCAUCCAUUGCCUCCCUCCUCUCUUCUCUACUAAAAAAACUUCAAUAGUUCUCUUAAUCCAUCUGAUCUGAUGACAGCGAAUUAGAUACAGUGACAAAUCAUGUCUCCUGACUGAUUCUUAUCGUACCAAGAGCCUCCCGGUGCAAUCAAUCUUUGUCUUUCCACGUUGCUUUUUCUGAGGAAGAAGCGAUAUUGAAAAGAUGAUGAUGAAUAUCGAUUCAUUAUGUAAUCGGCUGCCUCCACACAAUUCUAUAAAAUUGGAGGACAAAGUUGAAUGCAGGACCUCGGUUAUGCAGUGAAUAAUCAGUAUGCAUCACCCUGCCCAGCCUUUGGAUUAGGUAAAACGGAUUGAUUGCCUCUUCGUACAGUGUAUCACACAUAUAUUAUUUAAUAUAUCCGGCCAGGGCGCAUAUGGAGAUCAUCCAUUGGAGUCCUUUUAUCAGGUGGCCUCUAAGAUCUAAGGUGAUGCCUGUGAACUAAAGCAGGUUUGAGUAAUUCAGCUCACAAUAAAUUAAGCUCUUUAUGUUUAACAAAAGGCAGUAGGUAAAUCUUGGGGGGUGUUUGGUUCAGGGACUUUUUAGUCCCAGAGACUAGAAAAAGUCCCUAAAAAGUCCCUAGGAACCAAACGGGAGAGACUUUUUUUACAGGGACUAGAAAAAGACUCUACUAGAGAGUCUUUUUUGAUUAGUCCCUGGGACUAGAAAAAGUCCUAGGACUUCUAAACCAAACACCCCCUUGGACGCCCCAGUUAAUAUGCAAAAAUAGUAUGUAUUUGCACAGCUAUUAUAGAUAACAUGUAUGAGACAUCUCACUUAUUAUGGUUCUUUCUGUUUCACAAAAGAAGAUGCCAGUUGAGUUAAUUUCUAUAUGUGUAGGUGUGAAGAUGAAGAAAACAAGCGUGAACAACUCUGCAGUUACAAACAGACUGAUAUUAUGUUUUGCCUACACACAUGUAGUAUCAUAAAGAUGAACUCUUCUUUAAACCAUAUCUGUUGAAGGUUUGUCAACAUGGUGGGCUCCUUCGCCGCAUCUUGCUUUGGGAGCAGUACAUUCACCGGUAUAAACAAUAAUUUCUCUAUGGCCAUUCUGAGUAUGAAUCAACAUGAAUUUGUUGAUCCAGCUAGAAAAGAGAAGGCAUAACAGUUCCCAGUAUAUCAAUUGUUGUCUUCUCACCGGUUAAACAAUCCCAACUUCGUUUUUGAGGUACGAUGGUCCAUUACUACAUCUGGAAUGAGCAUGUGUUCUUGGCUCAAACUUGCGAGAAUAAAGAGUUGGUAGACCAGUUGUCAAUCAGAAGGUAUCCUUUUCACAUAAGUUUUCACUCAGUCCAUCAAGCUGCAUGUUACCUUUUGUAGUCAGAUGGGAAGGAUACAUACAUAUACAUACAGAGUCCAACAAUGGCAGGGAUUAUUAGCAAAAAAUAGUGAGUGCAAAUGAAAGCAUGGUGAAUGAUGCACUUGAAACAUAAAUACAAUAAAACAAAAUGAGAAAAAAAUAGAAAAAGUUUGAAUUUUUAAUGCUUCAGAUCUAUUAAGAACACAUAUAUACUUCCUUAUAUCGUUAAAACUACCAAGUCUAAACAGGGAAAAGAAAGUGUUAUAGCAAAUUCACAUGGAAGACAAGACUAACAAUUGUGAACCAAGAGCCAAAUAACAAUGAUGAACUCAAAAUCAUAGCAAUUAUUCAUAAACAUUCUAUGGACUAGCCCGUGCAAUUGCACGGGUUAACGACUAGUUCUUCUAAAACUCAACUACAUUGCUAACUACGAAGUUAUUACUAUGUUUAUCAAAAGAAAAUCCUGAAGGAUUGUGUGCCUCAUCUGAUGUUUCCGAAAGGUCGCCUUGACGUUUUGAACUUACGGGCAGGUCAUCCAACGAAUUGCUCAUGUUCAUACCAGAUUUCUAAAACUAAUGGAGACAUGACAAUCAAAGAUUAGAAAAAAUGUAUGGUGAAUCGUAGGGAGGUACUUGGAAGCAACAUUGUGCGAAGGGCAAGAAUUGGAGACAGGAUAAUAUCCAUUCUCCAUA